rnacentral:rRNA from 1 species
AUUGAACGCUGGCGGCAGGCCUAACACAUGCAAGUCGAACGAGUGGCGGACGGGUGAGUAAUGUCUGGGAAACUGCCUGAUGGAGGGGGAUAACUACUGGAAACGGUAGCUAAUACCGCAUACUAUCGGGUGUGCCCAGAUGGGAUUAUCUAGUGGGUGGGGUAAGGGCUCACCUAGGCGACGAUCCCUAGCUGGUCUGAGAGGAUGACCAGGAACACUGGAACUGAGACACGGUCCAGACUCCUACGGGAGGAAGCAGUGGGGAAUAGUGCACGAUGGGCGCAAGACUGAUGCGGCAAUGCGGCGUGUGUGAUGAAGGCGUUCGGGUUGUAAAACACUUGCAGCGAGGAGGCGGUGCUCGAACAAGAAGCAGCGGCUAACUCCGUGCCAGCAGCCGCGGUAAUUC